UACGUAGGCAGCGAGCGUUGUUCGGAGUUACUGGGCGUAAAGGGUGUGUAGGCGGUUGUUUAAGUUUGGUGUGAAAUCUCCCGGCUCAACUGGGAGGGUGCGCCGAAUACUGAGUGACUAGAGUGCGGGAGAGGAAAGUGGAAUUCCUGGUGUAGCGGUGAAAUGCGUAGAUAUCAGGAGGAACACCGGUGGUGUAGACGGCUUUCUGGACCGUAACUGACGCUGAGACACGAAAGCCAGGGGAGCAAACGGG
rnacentral:rRNA from 1 species